rnacentral:rRNA from 1 species
GAUGAACGCUGGCGGCGUGCCUAAUACAUGCAAGUCGAGCGAACAGACGAGGAGCUUGCUCCUCUGACGUUAGCGGCGGACGGGUGAGUAACACGUGGAUAACCUACCUAUAAGACUGGGAUAACUUCGGGAAACCGGAGCUAAUACCGGAUAAUAUAUUGAACCGCAUGGUUCAAUAGUGAAAGACGGUUUUGCUGUCACUUAUAGAUGGAUCCGCGCCGCAUUAGCUAGUUGGUAAGGUAACGGCUUACCAAGGCAACGAUGCGUAGCCGACCUGAGAGGGUGAUCGGCCACACUGGACCUGAGACACGGCCCAGACUCCUACGGGAGGCAGCAGUAGGGAAUCUUCCGCAAUGGGCGAAAGCCUGACGGAGCAACGCCGCGUGAGUGAUGAAGGUCUUCGGAUCGUAAAACUCUGUUAUUAGGGAAGAACAAAUGUGUAAGUAACUAUGCACGUCUUGACGGUACCUAAGCAGAAAGCCACGGCUAACUACGU